CAGAGUUGCAAAACUCCCCAAACCAUUGUGAACCUUACCUUCAAACGUUGCUUCGGCGGGCGGGCCACAGCGCCCCCCGGGCCCCCCAGCGGGGGCGCCCGCCGGAGGAUACCCAAACUCUUGAUACUUUAUGGCCUCUCUGAGUCUUCUGUACUGAAUAAGUCA
rnacentral:misc_RNA from 1 species